CGUCUGACGCACGGUGACGCUCAGAAAUCCCGGCACGCGCACUGGAGGAGAGAGUACCGGAAUUAACGGAGGGAACACACGGAGAUAACGGAUCCUGUGAAUUUAACAUACCCGAGGGUAAAGACAGCGACAUCCCGUCAGACUGAGAGCGGCCGGAGGAGCGAGGCCGUCCCCUCUCCUCUCCUGAAGCCCGUCUUUAUAGAUGUGGGGCGCGUCGGUCCAUGGCUGCAUCCAGGUGACGUCCAGUGACCUCAGUCACUUCUGGCUGCUGCUGAUUCACCAGAGGACCUCUGCAAGAAAAUCAAGCUUUAUGGCACUACCUUCAUAGAGAGAAACUACUUUCACCCCUACAAGAGCUGCUGAAUUAUUCAGCAUCAGACAGUGGGGCUCGGCUGCUGAGCCGGGAGGAGAUGGAGAGGAAGCGGCGGAGAGAGGAGGGGAGGUAUGGAGGUGUCCGAUGCUGCAGGAAGUGGUGAGUCAGCAGGGAGAGAGCCGAGCAGUGGGAGGGAAGACGGAGAGAGUGUACAGAUAGCUUUAGGUGACACGGCAGCGGAGAGCACCAUCCAGGAGCCUCGCGAUGCGAUUUUGUCCGUGUGGGUGCGUUCGCGCGUGGAUCGAGUCAGGGAAGGUCACGGUGCUGAGGGGAGAUUAGCAAACUAGGCUCAGAAGCGGAGGAGCGCGGCGGCACAGAUAACGCCUCCUCUGAACAGCGCAGAAACGGGAGAGACGAGAACAAAAAAGGACGAGAGGAGCCGUUACAGUAUGGGGGAGAGCUACAUGUACCAGCGACUCCCCUACGCCAGAGGAGAGGGGGAGGGGGAGGACGAAGAGGAGAGAGGCAGGAGUGUCGAGGGACAAAUGAUGCAGUGUGACGAGGGAACAGAGUGGCUGCUGGAGCUGCUGACAGAUGUUCAGCUGCAGCAGUACUUCCUGCGCAUCCGAGACGAGCUCAACGUCACGCGACUCUCCCACUUCGACUACGUCAAGAAUGAAGACCUGGAAAAGAUUGGCAUGGGACGUCCCGGUCAGAGGAGGCUUUGGGAGGCCGUCAAGAGGAGAAGAGCCCUUUACAAACGCAAGUCCUGGAUGAGCAAGGUGUUCCCGGUGAAACGGCCGGACGCAGACCCCCAGCAGCCUCUUCCUCAGGGGGCGACGUCUGCUGUGGUCUCAGCCACCAGCGAGGCAGGGGCCUCGCUCACCUGCCUGAUCAGAGAGUCCGAGCUGCAGCUGCUCGAGCGGCUCGGAGACGGCACCUUUGGGGUGGUGCGGCGAGGGGAGUGGACGGCGCCCAACGGCAGAGUGUUGUCAGUGGCAGUAAAGGUUCUGAAGGCCGGCGUGUUGGACUCAGACGGUCUGGAUGAUUUCAUCAGGGAGGUGAACGCCAUGCACUCGCUGAGCCACCAGAACCUGAUCCGUCUCUACGGGAUCGUCCUCACCCAACCCAUGAAGAUGGUGACUGAGCUGGCUCCUCUGGGCUCCCUGUUGGACCGUCUCAGAAAGCGUCAGGGUCACAUCCUCAUCUCCUCGUUGUGCAACUACGCCGUGCAGGUGGCCUGUGGGAUGGCCUACCUGGAGCAGAAGCGCUUCCUCCACAGGGACCUUGCAGCCCGUAACGUUCUGCUUUCCACCAACGAGACGGUGAAGAUCGGAGACUUUGGCCUGAUGAGGGCGCUGCCUACGCACACUGAUCAAUACAUUAUGGAGGAGGGCCACAAAAUCCCCUUCCCAUGGUGUGCGCCGGAGUCUCUGAAGUCUCGCACUUUCUCUCAUGCGUCUGACACCUGGAUGUUUGGGGUCACUCUGUGGGAGAUGUUCACCCACGGACAGGAGCCGUGGCUGGGCCUCAACGGGAGCCAGAUCCUCUACAAGGUGGACGUGGAGGCUGAGCGGCUGUGUAAACCAGACGACUGCCCUCAGGAUAUUUACAACGUCAUGCUGCAGUGCUGGAGCCCCAAACCUGAGGACAGGCCGACCUUCGUCGCUCUCAGAGACUUCCUGCUCGAGACCAUGCCCACAGACAUGAGAGCCCUGCAGGACUUUGAGGACGAAGAGAAGCUGCAGAUCAAAAUGAACGACGUCAUCACCAUCAUAGAAGGAAGGGCAGAGCAUUACUGGUGGCGAGGUCAGAACAGGCGGACGCUGCGUGUCGGUCAGUUUCCCCGUCACGUGGUGACGUCGGUCGCCGGCCUGUCCGCCCACGACAUCAGCCGACCGCUGAAACACUCCUUCAUCCACACUGGACAUGGAGACACUGACCCCCACAGGAGCUGGGGACACGCAGACCGCAUAGACAGUCUAUAUUUGGGGAACCCCAUGGACCCUCCAGAUGUCCUGGGAAUGGAUUCAGGUACGGCAAGACCAACCAAACUCCCAAACCGUUCCAAGAAGCAGCCUCCCCCUCGUCCGCCCCAACCCGCCGUUCUGCUCAAAAAGCCGUUCUACGACUCCGUGAUGGAUGAUUACAACGACGAGGAUGACACCGGCAAUUCGUCUGGGCUGAAGAGGCUGGGAGUGUCCCUGGGCCUGAAGCUCAGGCCGUGGGAAGGAUCUGGCGUGCGCUCGGCCAAAAGCGAGGUGUCGCUCAUCGACUUCACCGACGACAGCUUCAGCUCGACCACGCCCUCCCCGCUCACCGAGACGCGACAGGACGAAGACACGCUGAAGGAUACUCCCUCCAUCUUGGACUGGCCGCUUCCUCAGCCGGCUUACGACGAGGUCACCGCAGAGCUCGACGACCAAUCAGAGGACCAGGAGGUUCGGUCCAUCAACAAGGGGUUGACUGAGGAACCUUCAGCCGCCCCCGGGGCUGGCAUGACGAGCAGGAGCGAGUCCCAGUCAGCUGACCUCUUCCAAGAGCUGCAGAGAGAGGUGAUGGUGAAGCUGCAGGUUCCCAUGGCGACAGGCCGCUCCCUGCCUUCCUCCCCGCUCCCCAUGCCUCUGGCUCCUUUCGGCCCCCAUCGACAGAUCUACCUCCCGCCUCCUUCCCCCUCUUCCUCCACCUCCUCCUUUGCUUCCUGCUUCGAGGACCGGCCGGUGCUGCCUCCCCGCAGUCCAGUCCCCCCCCUGCGGCCCUCUAAGCAGAGCGUCUCCAACCGCACCGCCCACCCGCACGCCCGCUCCAGCUCCAUUUCACUGGGCGACGAGGACGACACGCCUCCUCAGAUCCCACCCAGGGACCACGCUUUUUCUCAGCCGGGCUCCCGAUCCUGCUCUCCCCUCCCGCUGGUGCCACCGAUCUCUUCCUCCCCCAUGGCCCUGCCCCCUCCCCCUCUCUCCGUCUCCCCACGCCGGGCUUCCGGACUGCUCGGCCCCCUCCUGUCCUCCACCUCUUCCCUGCCGCCAGCCUCAUCCUACUCCUCACGCCUUUCAGCUUCAAACUACUCGUCCAGCUCUUUACUGGAGCCGCUGUCCUUUCGUGAGGGGCGUGGCCUCUCGUCGCUGAUUGACAGCCCUCAGAGCUCUGCUCCCGCCCCGCUGCCAGACAGACCAGCUUACCUGGAGAGAUACGGUGCAGCCAACAUGGCGGCCGUCAAACCCAUGAUACAGCAACAGCAUCAACAGCAGCAGCCCGGUGGAGCCAAACCAAACACGUCCUACAACAACAACAACAAACGAACCGCUGCUCCCAGCAUGCAACAGGAGCAGAGCAUCACGCAGGUUCAAGGAGCAGUGCACGGUGUCACCACAGAGGAGUGUCAAGAAGCUCUACAGACUCACAACUGGAGCAUCCCUGAAGCCGUGAACCAUUUGAAGGUGGAGCAGCUGUUCCGGUUGGGGCUGCGUUCGAGAGCCGAGUGCGAGGAGCUCCUGCAGCGCUGCCAGUGGAACCUGGAGCAGGCCAGCACGCUCAUGCUUGACUCAUACGGAACACAACACAACAGAUGUCUGUGCCGGUAGAAAAUGAGGCCAAUGAAGCAGACGACGAGCUAAAAAAUGUCGAAUCCCACGCAGCUGGAAGUGACAGUGACAGGCGGGAGGACGCAUUCCUACCACUGACGAGCUCAUCUCGAUCAAGGCGCCAAAACUGAGUCACCUCAGUGACUCACCACUCCAUCAACUCAUACAUUUUAAUGAAUGAAGAGGACCACGGAGAAGUGUACGUGCCUCACUUCCUGUACUGUGAACACCUGCUUCUACCUAUCUGUGCUCGUUAUUAGCGAACAUGGCUGCUUUUGAAUGAGUCACAGUGUUUACUUGAACUUUGCUAUUUAUAUGAUGACUUUUUUUUUUCUAUCAUUACAUAAACAUGGAGCGUUUGCGUUUCGUCUGGUAGCUGCUGCAGGAGUGAAUGUCGUGAAUGAGUGCACGUCCGAGCCCGGGUGUGUCGUUAGCUUACCGCUAUGUACAAACACUGUAAACGCUCGAGCCUUUUUUUUGCUUUUGAUGAAUAUAAAAUCAGGGAAGUAUAAGCUUAUGUGGAAAUGUACAGAUAAUAAUGUAUGUGACACUUUAGUGAGUGUGUCGACACUCGAGCCAGCUGCUGGUCAGAGGAGGAGGAAAAGUUCACCUGCUCAGUGAAGUGAAAAUAUGACUGGAAUCAGAUGUUUUAUUCGUGUCUUAAAGGUUCCCUGCGGAGUUUCAUUCUAAAUAAACAUCUGCUAUGAAGUUGUCCUCUGCUGGUACACUGCAGCUUUUCCUUUCAGUAUGUGACCUGUUAUGAAUAAUGACCAACAGAGGAACGUCUCCAUCACACCAUCACAGGUCAAAACUCCACAUGUCAUCUUUAAGCACGGAGGAAGUUUUAGUCUUCCAGAUGGCUUAAGAUACGUAUCUCGUCACGAAUACAGGGUAUUAAGUUAAACUCUACAGGUUUGGUAUUUAAGGUAACUUAAGACUUACUUCUUUCUACAUGAUAAUCAUGAACAGGUCGAAGAGGUUAAAUUGUUUAAGCAGCUGACGUCUUAUUUGUUAGGAAAUUAUCUUUAGCACACGGAAAACGAUCCUGAUCGCGCCAUCUGUGACAAAAUAAAAUUUGAGAAUUGUGCACGCAUGGUGGUAAGUGGAUGAAUUUAAAACAUGUCUGUGCAUCUUUCACUCUCGGCUGUUAUCUCCUGCGCUGACUCUGUUUUACGUGACUGCAUCAUUCUGUCUAAUUAGAGCUGCUUUUAAUUGUAAAAUGCAAAUGCGGCCUUUGCUGUUUUGUAAUAAAAUGGAAAUUCUGUUGUCGGAA